rnacentral:rRNA from 1 species
GGGAGGCAGCAGUGGGGAAUAUUGCACAAUGGGCGCAAGCCUGAUGCAGCCAUGCCGCGUGUGUGAAGAAGGCCUUCGGGUUGUAAAGCACUUUCAGUAGGGAGGAAGGUGGUAGUGUUAAUAGCGCUAUCAUUUGACGUUACCUACAGAAGAAGCACCGGCUAACUCCGUGCCAGCAGCCGCGGUAAUACGGAGGGUGCGAGCGUUAAUCGGAAUUACUGGGCGUAAAGCGCAUGCAGGUGGUUUGUUAAGUCAGAUGUGAAAGCCCCGGGCUCAACCUGGGAAUUGCAUUUGAAACUGGCAAACUAGAGUACUGUAGAGGGGGGUAGAAUUUCAGGUGUAGCGGUGAAAUGCGUAGAGAUCUGAAGGAAUACCGGUGGCGAAGGCGGCCCCCUGGACAGAUACUGACACUCAGAUGCGAAAGCGUGGGGAGCAAACAGGAUUAGAUACCCUGGUAGUCCACGCCGUAAACGAUGUCUACUUGGAGGUUGUGGCCUUGAGCCGUGGCUUUCGGAGCUAACGCGUUAAGUAGACCGCCUGGGGAGUACGGUCGCAAGAUUAAAACUCAAAUGAAUUGACGGGGGCCCGCACAAGCGGUGGAGCAUGUGGUUUAAUUGGAUGCAACGCGAAGAACCUUACCUACUCUUGACAUCCAGUGAAUCUGGCGGAGACGCUGGAGUGCCUUCGGGAGCUC